UGGGGAAUAUUGGACAAUGGGGGCAACCCUGAUCCAGCGAUGCCGCGUGAGUGAUGAAGGCCUUAGGGUUGUAAAACUCUUUCAGGGGUGAAGAUAAUGACGGUAACCCCAGAAGAAGCUCCGGCUAACUCCGUGCCAGCAGCCGCGGUAAUACGGAGGGAGCUAGCGUUGUUCGGAAUUACUGGGCGUAAAGCGCGCGUAGGCGGCUUGGCAAGUUGGGGGUGAAAUCCCGGGGCUUAACCUCGGAACUGCCCUCAAAACUGCUGAGCUAGAAUCCUGGAGAGGUGAGCGGAAUUCCUAGUGUAGAGGUGAAAUUCGUAGAUAUUAGGAAGAACACCAGUGGCGAAGGCGGCUCACUGGACAGGUAUUGACGCUGAGGUGCGAAAGCGUGGGGAGCGAACAGGAUUAGAUACCCCCGUAGUCC
rnacentral:rRNA from 1 species